UACGGGGGGAGCAAGCGUUGUUCGGAUUUACUGGGCGUAAAGGGCGCGUAGGCGGCCACCGCAAGUCGACUGUGAAAUCUCCGGGCUUAACCCGGAAAGGUCAGCCGAUACUGCGGGGCUAGAGUGCAGAAGGGGCAACUGGAAUUCUCGGUGUAGCGGUGAAAUGCGUAGAUAUCGAGAGGAACACCUGCGGCGAAGGCGGGUUGCUGGGCUGACCCUGACGCUGAUGUGCGAAAGCUAGGGGAGCGAACGGG
rnacentral:rRNA from 1 species